rnacentral:rRNA from 1 species
GAUGAACGCUAGCGGCAGGCCUAAUACAUGCAAGUCGAACGAGAUUAAGAGGCUUGCUUCUUAUGAAAGUGGCGCACGGGUGCGUAACGCGUAUGCAACCUACCUUAAUCAGGGGGAUAGCCCGAAGAAAUUCGGAUUAAGACCGCAUAAAAACACAGGAUAGCAUUAUCCAAUGUUCAAAUAUUUAUAGGAUUAAGAUGGGCAUGCGUGUCAUUAGCUAGUUGGCGGGGUAACGGCCCACCAAGGCGACGAUGACUAGGGGAUCUGAGAGGAUGACCCCCCACACUGGGACUGAGACACGGACCAGACUCCUACGGGAGGCAGCAGUAAGGAAUAUUGGUCAAUGGAGGGAACUCUGAACCAGCCAUGCCGCGUGCAGGAAGACAGCCCUCUGGGUCGUAAACUGCUUUUAUUCGGGAAUAAACCUUUCUACGUGUAGGAAGCUGAAUGUACCGAAGGAAUAAGGAUCGGCUAACUCCGUG